UCUCCGUUGGUGAACCAGCGGAGGGAUCAUUACAGGACUCGCAAGACUCCUACAACCCUGUGAACUUAACUAUAAGCACGUUGCUUCGGCGGGUGUCUCGGAGGGGGUUCUCCCUCCCCGAGACGCUAAACCCGCCGGCAGCCUAUUAUACUCUGUCUCUUUGCGUUGGCAUCUCGAGUACAAUCAAACAAGUUAAAACUUUCAACAACGGAUCUCUUGGUUCUG
rnacentral:misc_RNA from 1 species